rnacentral:rRNA from 1 species
AAUGGCAGGUCAGCAUACUGCCGUGAAUACGUUCCCGGGCCUUGUACACACCGCCCGUCACACCAUGAGAGUUGGGAAUACCCGAAGCCUGUGAGCUAACAUUAUGAGGCAGCAGUCGAAGGUAGAAUCAAUGAUUGGGGUGAAGUCGUAACAAGGUAAC